AGAAGGCAGUGAGAAGGAAUUACAAUCUGGGAGUCUAACAUUCAUUGAGCACCCAAAGACAUGAUCUUAGUUAAUCCUCACAACUACCACAAGAAACAUCAAAAAGGUAGCCUUGCUGAAUACAGAGGCCAGGACUGCAAAAAGCAAGUGAGGGAGUUGUCAAUGAACACGUAAAAAGGAAUGAAGAAAUACUAUUAUUAAAAGCUCUUCUUUCCAGCUUAUCUCUUUAACUCUGGCAAAAGACCCAACAGGCAGAGCAUCCUGUGAUGGAAACUGAAAACCCUCAAGCAGUAAGGACUGCCUGGACAAAAUGCUACAGCUGGCCCAGACCACCCAGAUCAGUUUGAACUUAACCACUGACCAACACAUGUGCAGAUGGGCCCUGGAGUGAUCAACUGUUACCUUUACCUCACUAUAAUACAAAAAUCUCCACUCAAAGAGGAGCAAACCUCAUUUACAUAAUACACAAUUCAUGUAUAGGCAUGUUUCCCUUAAAGCGCACACAUAACUUUGUGCCAUCUUGAUGACAAGGCUCUCCUAUCUAGUCAUCCUAACCCUAAAAAAAGGAAUCCAUUCACCCUUGCUCAAAGAGUCACAGCUUUGGAAGUUAUUACCUGUGAUCUCCUUAUUGCUACAAACAUAGUUUACAUUGUGAGAGCACUCUAUGUGGUAUAGUUUCUACCUGUGAUCUCCCAAGGUUCAAACUCACUUUAGUUCAGUUACAGGAACUUAGCGGUUACCAAACAUUUCUGGAUACUGAUUGUGGCACAGGUGCAUGAAUCUACAUUUAAUAAAAUUGCAUGGGCCUAUACAUAUACACAAUUAAGCACUUCUGAAUAAACUCUUUAGAUUGCAUCAUCAAUUUCCUGGUGUUGAUAGGGUACUAUGAUUGUGCAAGAUGUCACCACUGGGGAAGACUGGGUGAAGUGUUCAUGAGACCUCUCUGUACUAUUUUUGCAACUUCCUAUGAAGCCAUAAUUUUUUCCAAAUAAAAAGCCUUUAUAUCUAGGCUUCUUUCUAUACUGCAACCCCCAACAAUAUGUCAUUAAAAGACACCCGUCUCUGAAAAGAGUAUGGGAAUCAUAUUAGUGCUCCCCUUCAUAGAUGAAACCCACUACUUUUCCUCUUUUCCUUGAUUCAAUAUUUACUCAGAGUCCAGCU